AUUGAACGCUGGCGGCAUGCCUUACACAUGCAAGUCGAACGGCAGCGGACCUUCGGGUGCCGGCGAGUGGCGAACGGGUGAGUAAUGCAUCGGAACGUGCCAUUGAGUGGGGGAUAACGUAGCGAAAGUUGCGCUAAUACCGCAUAUUCUGUGAGCAGGAAAGCAGGGGACCGCAAGGCCUUGCGCUCUUUGAGCGGCCGAUGUCAGAUUAGCUAGUUGGUGAGGUAACGGCUUACCAAGGCGACGAUCUGUAGCGGGUCUGAGAGGAUGAUCCGCCACACUGGAACUGAGACACGGUCCAGACUCCUACGGGAGGCAGCAGUGGGGAAUUUUACGCAAUGGGCGAAAGCCUGACGUAGCGACACCGCGUGAGCGAAGAAGCCCCUUGGGGUGUAAAGCUCUGUCAGCUGGAACGAAAAAAAUGACGGUACCAGCAGAGGAAGCAUCGGCUAACUACGUGCCAGCAGCCGCGGUAAU
rnacentral:rRNA from 1 species